GGUGACGAGCGGCGGACGGGUGAGUAAUGUCGGGAAACUGCCUGAUGGAGGGGGAUAACUACUGGAAACGGUAGCUAAUACCGCAUAACGUCGCAAGACCAAAGAGGGGGACCCUCGGGCCUCUUGCCAUCAGAUGUGCCCAGAUGGGAUUAGCUAGUAGUGGGGUAACGGCUCACCUAGGCGACGAUCCCUAGCUGGUCUGAGAGGAUGACCAGCCACACUGGAACUGAGACACGGUCCAGACUCCUACGGGAGGCAGCAGUGGGGAAUAUUGCACAAUGGGCGCAAGCCUGAUGCAGCCAUGCCGCGUGUAUGAAGAAGGCCUUCGGGUUGUAAAGUACUUUCAGCGGGGAGGAAGGUGUUGUGGUUAAUAACCACAGCAAUUGACGUUACCCGCAGAAGAAGCACCGGCUAACUCCGUGCCAGCAGCCGCGGUAAUACGGAGGGUGCAAGGCGUAUCGGAAUUACUGGGCGUAAGCGCACGCAGGCGGUCUGUCAAGUCCGGAAUUGUUGAAAUUCCCCCGGGGGCUUCAACCCUGGGGAACUUGGUUUCGAAAACUGGGCAGGGGCUAAAGUNCUUGGUACAAGGGGGGGUAAAAU
rnacentral:rRNA from 1 species